UACAGAGGUCCCAAGCGUUGUUCGGAUUCACUGGGCGUAAAGGGUGCGUAGGUGGCGAGGUAAGUCGGAUGUGAAAGCUCGGAGCUCAACUCCGAAAUGGCAUUGGAAACUACCUUGCUCGAGGGUUGGAGGGGGGACUGGAAUUCUCGGUGUAGCAGUGAAAUGCGUAGAUAUCGAGAGGAACACCUGCGGCGAAGGCGGGUUGCUGGGCUGACACUGACGCUGAUGCGCGAAAGCCAGGGGAGCGAACGGG
rnacentral:rRNA from 1 species